UACGUGGGUGGCAAGCGUUAUCCGGAAUUAUUGGGCGUAAAGCGCGCGCAGGCGGUUUCUUAAGUCUGAUGUGAAAGCCCACGGCUCAACCGUGGAGGGUCAUUGGAAACUGGGGAACUUGAGUGCAGAAGAGAAAAGCGGAAUUCCACGUGUAGCGGUGAAAUGCGUAGAGAUGUGGAGGAACACCAGUGGCGAAGGCGGCUUUUUGGUCUGUAACUGACGCUGAGGCGCGAAAGCGUGGGGAGCAAACAGG
rnacentral:rRNA from 1 species